rnacentral:lncRNA from 1 species
GUUUCUUAAGUUUUCCUUUUAAGGUCAGAGCUGUUUCUUUACCAACAUUCACCAAAAUUAACCAUGAUCUACAAAAGAGAAUAUAUUUAUUAUUAAACAAAUAAAAUAUUUUGCAUUUAUCUUCAAUUACCUUGGAGCACCUGCAGUUUUUACAAGUCAUAAGAAAGCUGGUUUACAUGCGUGAAUCUGGAAAAAAAGUACUACUUUAUUUGAGAUUGGCUGCUGACAAAGUGGUUUUCUGGAUUAACCUUCAUCAGGAACGCUUGAUGACAAAAUUUAAGCAUACAUUGCCGUUUCAGGGCCUUUUAUUUAUGUUAUAGCUGACUAUACGGUAUUAGCUUUGCUCAUUGUUGAAGACCAUU